GGAGAAGUCCAUCACACUGGAAGACAGGACGCUGGGCAGAGCCACCACCGGCAGCCUGUGGAGACACUCCCUACGCUUAUAUAUUGAACUUUAUAUUUUGUAAGAGUUUUUCCUCCUCUUUAACUUUUUAAAAAAAGAAAACAAAAAACAAAUGUAAAGUAGAUGGGAAGGAAAGUGAAGCUUCACACAGCCUUUAUAUGUGGUGCGCGUCUUGUGGGGAUCUCCAGUCUGGGCACAGCCGGAACUGACCGGGAUCCAGAAAUGUCACAGAUGCGCAAGCCGCGGGUCUGAGGCCCCUGAACUCAGUCCAUAAGCCCUGCGUUUGGUUUCUCUUCCUGCUCUCCAUCACUGUGUUGUUACUUUAAAUGUGAAUAGAGAAAACAAGCUGUCAUUGCCUAUUUUUGAAGAAUGCGUUAGCAUCCGACCCCGCGAUCCGCAUACGCCUCCACGUAGCCUUUACCAUAGACUUCUAUAGAGAACACAGAUAGAGUAUAAAUGAGAUUCUUAAAUUAUUUCAGUGUAGCUAAUCCCCACUAGGAAUGCUUCUGUCGUAGGGGAGCCUACUUCAGAAAGGAAGCAGAGUCCUUUGUGAGGUCUCUCUUCGGGGUGUAUAUGAGUGUGUACAUAUUAUUGUGUGUUUAUAUGAUAUUUUCCCGAAUGAUUCCUUGUUUCACAUCAUCCUCCGCUGCCUGAAUGCGCAGUUGCUCGCUCUGGUUCCCUCCCUCCCUCCCUGACACCAUCAGUUCUUCCUCGGAACACAUGGCCCCCUCCCCUGCCAGUUUUUGCCGUGCUGAACUGUCCAAGAGUAGCCCACUUUUCAUAAGCCUGAGUUGUGGCAAUAGAUACAAGGGUGGUAUCGGAGCCUCCAGGGUUUUCUGUGCAGAUAAAGGAGAGACUUGAUUCAACUGAACUUGUAUUUCACACCAGGUCCUUCCCUCAACAACAGCUUCCUGUUCCCAUUUUCAUGAUGACACCAAGGCUGGGAGAAACAGGGACAGGGUUAUGGCUGGCAGUCCCAGUAGCAAACACUUCCCCUAAUGCAAUGCGCUUUUUAAAGAGCACAUCAGAAUGAGAUAGUCACCCGGUUGACUUGCUAAAAUCAAGGAAGGAAGUGGGAAAAGUCAAAGAAGCUGGUUAAGUGGGGGGAACACGGAACAUGUGCGUUCUCACUCCAGACACUGUUAGAGCUGAGACCCCACGCCCACCAGGCCCAAGCCUUCCUGUUAAAGGUGAAUCUCUCCCUUCUUGUUGAGAGGUUCCCAGCUGGGACCAGCGGCAAAGGGGCCUGUGACUUAUCUGUCAUUUGUCCUGGGGAGUCACUGAUAGAACCAGGCACAUGCCAGGCUCACCUGGGGCUACCUCUGCUAAGCUUCUGAUACCCUCCCCCGGGCCGUGAACAGUGUCGGGAGGGAGAGCAGCCUCAUUCUGAGAAAGCCACUCUAAUGUUCUGUCUGGUUUUACAAAGAGCUAAGCACUGCUCUCCUACUGUCCCCAAGUGUCACUCAAGCCUAAGACGAGCCUCCUCUCCUGCAACCUCGUACCUACGCUGUUGGCUCAUCAAGCCUCCUUCUCCCUGUGGUUCCUACCACGAGGCUGCUGGGGUGAGCGCGCACGCACGCACGCACGCACGCACUCGCUCGAGGAGCAUACAUGCUCUGUCAGAGCCCUCUGCCCUUUAACUUUGAGCAUCCUAACACCUCAGGCCUUGGGCUUCACUGCCUCUAUCCCGAGGAGCUUGGCCAGAGAGUGAACCCCGGGGCACUCCGUAACAUCCUCCUUUCUCUGUCAAGACCCACAGUGAGUUUGUGUCUAAACUUGGUGAGCUGGAGACUUAACUGGCCAUGAGCCUGAUUUGUGCUCUUGGUUGCCAAGGUUUCGGCCCCUCCUCCCUGCAUUGACGCUGUUUCAUGCCUGAGAUGCUCCAUCUCUGUCCCUCCUGGAGACGCCCCACAACAGUACAGCUGGGAGGUCAUCAGGGCCUCCAAACUCCUGAGAGGCUGGCCUCUCUGAGAAGCCAGCCCUUGUCUUUGGGUGGGCUCUCCUCUGCUCGUCUGUCUCCAUCCUUCACAUCCUACAAGGUCCCCAAGGCUUUGCUAGAAAUCCCCCCAGGAUCGUAUUUAUGACUUUGAAGCAAACAAAUUAAAAAGCAGGAAGGAAUUGGAGGAAAUGUGACAUGGAUGAACAUCUCUGC
rnacentral:lncRNA from 1 species